rnacentral:lncRNA from 1 species
AAACAUGGGAAAAUUGAAAACACGGAAAGCAUCCCAUUUUCCAUUAUUGUGCGUGAGAGCAGAGAACCAAGGAAGGCCCGCUACCUUCUUCCUCAACAAUCGACCACUACCCGCCACCUAGAACACCAGAUUUCACAACCAUUCGAACCCCCUCACCUCCCUCUUCAACAUCUAGUCAUCACCUGGCCAUAGAGUUGCCCAAAACAGCCCCAAUCAUCACCCAAAAUCGCGCUACCAGUCACGGUUUUCUCCAUACUUCCACUGCUGUCGGCCACCGUUUCGAGUGCGGACCACCACCACUCUACUCCUCUCAACCAGGCGUAUCCAAUACAGCCAUGUGUCACCUGCAAUUUUGUCCGAAUUCGAGUGAGCUUGUGAAAGCAGUCCCUGAGUUGUGGCAGAUUCGGUCCCAACAAAAUUGAUGAAAUUUUAUUGAUGCAAACAAUCAAUUCUACUUUCCAAACAUCAAGGUUGGUUUUUUAAAUGGGUUGGGUUUAGUUUUUGCACAUUUAUUUAUGGUUUCUUGUAUGUUAUUGAAUUUGUUGGCUACUUAAUGUUAUUGAAAUUUUCGAAAUUGGAUGUUGAAAACGAGGUGACUUUCAUUAUCUUGUUGGCUACUUAAUGUUGCUUAAGGAGUCUGCAAACUGGUAGUCUUAGUUUGGAUAAGAAAUUGUUGAAAUCUUUUUGCUGGAGAUAGGUCUCAUUAUUAGAUGAAUGAGAUUGAAUUCAAAUCACUAGUAAUUGGCUUUGAGUAAUCUGUAAAUGCCACUCGUGGUGGUGGAUUGCUAAUUUGCUUCAAAAGAAUGCAAUUCAAUAUCAAACAAUUUCUUGCCAUAAAUCAUAACUAUGAAAAUAUAUACUGCAAGUAUAGAUUAUUUUGGAAAAGCUGUGGGAUGUCUCUUCCCCAGUAUGUGUAACUGAUUUUUGUUCAUGAAUGAUGAGAAACGUUUGAAGUUGGUUGUCCCUCAUUGAAUUUGAUUAAGGAGGAAAGAUUGAUAAUCCAGUGUUAAUUGAUGAAAGGUCGUGAUACUAAACAAAUAGAUCAAGAUUAGGGCUCAAGAUAAAUUAGAUAGAGUCAAGGAUUAAACAGUUAAAAUAGGGUCGAAUCAUAGGUCAAAAAUGAUAAAUGAAUAAAUGCACCCAAAUUGCCCAAAAGACAUUGUAGUUUGCAGCAAAGCUAACAACCUGGUGAUGAACAGUGAGAUCAAAUGUAUUAAAAGUGACAAGAAUAAGAGACAAGUACUCUUAAAUCAUAUUGAUAGUAGGAUAGUUGGAAAAGACAAAUCAUAUCCAACAUGUUUGAGGAAAUGAAAUAACAGUACUAUGCCCAAUCUGGACAAGAAUCUGGAGAUGUUACAUUAAUAGAAAGAGGGUAGGCAAUUGAACAUAGAGAUCAGUCCAUGAACGAAGGUCCCAUCAAAUUUUUAUAUUACAUGAAACAUCUCUGUCUCUCUCCCCUCCUCUUGUUUGUUGUUGUCACAUGUGCAAAACCAACAAGAAAGAAACAGGUCAUGAGAGAGAUAGAGAGAAAGAGAGAGAGAGAGAGUUCUCUUUCUCCAGAUCUCUUUUUGACUGCCAAAGCUAAGCCCUUCUCAUGCUUGUAAUAUUACUUGCUUUUCUUAUUCUUGUUCUUUCUUUCAAGCUCUGUUCUUUUUCGAGUACUUGUAGCUUAUAGGUAUGUGGCCUUGUAGUUUUUCAUAUGGUCAAUCUAUUCAGUGGAAGGAAUGUCCUACUGAAAUGGAGGUGCCUCGAAAGGAAGUAGUUGUUAAUCAGGUGCAACAAUUGGAUUAUAGAGCGCAUCAAGAGAGGGAACUGAAGUUCAUGACUGCUGGCUGGAAGUGUGAUUGCCAUGGCAGGUGGUUUAAGGAUGAAAAUGUAAGCUUUAAUUUCUUUGGCUUCAUGUUUAAUUGGUAAUAUGUACAAUUUUUGGUUUAACUUGCAGCGAUAAAUUUGAGGGCAGUUUUAUUAUUUUUUGUUGUCAUAGUAUAUUUGCUUCUACAUAAUAAAAUUUUAAUAGAAUAAAUCAUUUCCAUUUGGUAGAGGUCUAUAUGAUGGUUUCAUCUGCUUGCAGAUUGAGUUUGACUCUGAUGCACAAAUGAGGGAUUCUUGAUUUUUCAUCUGUUAAGAUGCAAACAUAUUGGCAUUCUAUGCAUCUAGGAAAUGACCAGCAAUUACAUUUCAUGCUGGUGUGUGCCAUCACAAUUUGUAUAUUACGAGGAAACUAUUUUCAGCCUUUCUAACUUGAAUAUUGACAAAUGACAAUUGGAUGAGUUUGGUCUUCUUGUAGUAUUCUGUCUUUCAAUGUCAUUUUGAGCUUCUUUUGGGCAUGUAUGAUAUGUGUAGAUAAAUUAAAAGAUGCUUUGAGGUUGGUUGACUAAGCUCGAAGUGUUUUGGUGCUAGUUGAACAA